rnacentral:rRNA from 1 species
AGUGAACGCUGGCGGUAGGCCUAACACAUGCAAGUCGAACGGCAGCACAGUAAGAGCUUGCUCUUACGGGUGGCGAGUGGCGGACGGGUGAGGAAUACAUCGGAAUCUACUUUUUCGUGGGGGAUAACGUAGGGAAACUUACGCUAAUACCGCAUACGACCUACGGGUGAAAGCAGGGGAUCUUCGGACCUUUCGCGAUUGAAUGAGCCGAUGUCGGAUUAGCUAGUUGGCGGGGUAAAGGCCCACCAAGGCGACGAUCCGUAGCUGGUCUGAGAGGAUGAUCGACCACACUGGAACUGAGGGACCGUCCAGGCUCCUACGGGAGGCAGCAGUGGGGAAUAUUGGACAAAGGGCGGAAGCCUGAUCCAGCCAUACCGCGUGGGUGAAGAAGGCCUUCGGGUUGUAAAGCCCUUUUGUUGGGAAAGAAAAGCAGCAGGUUAAUACCCCGCUGUUCUGACGGUACCAAAGAAUAAGCACCGGCUAACUUCGUG